GACGAACGCUGGCGGCGUGCCUACUACAUGCAAGUAGAACGCAGUUGCGAACGGGUGAGUAACGCGUAGGUAACUGCCUCAUAGCGGGGGAUAACUAUUGGAAACGAUAGCUAAUACCGCAUCCUGUGAGAUUGACCUGCGUUGUAUUAGCUAGUUGGUGAGGUAAAGGCUCACCAAGGCGCCGAUACCUAGCCGACCUGAGAGGAUGAGCGGCCAAAAUGGGACAUAGAGACGGCCCAGACUCCUACGGGAGGAAGCAGUAGGGAAUCGUGGGAAAUGGACAGAAUGCUGACCGAGGAAAGCCGAAUAAGUGAAGAAGGUAUUCGGAUCGUAAAGCGCUGUUGUAAGAGAAGCGGUAACAAACCAGAAAGGGACGGCAAACUACGUGCCAGCAGCCGCGGUAAUAC
rnacentral:rRNA from 1 species